rnacentral:rRNA from 1 species
GUAGGUGGCAAGCGUUGUCCGGAAUUAUUGGGCGUAAAGCGCGCGCAGGCGGUUCUUUAAGUCUGAUGUGAAAGCCCACGGCUCAACCGUGGAGGGUCAUUGGAAACUGGAGAACUUGAGUACAGAAGAGGAAAGCGGAAUUCCACGUGUAGCGGUGAAAUGCGUAGAGAUGUGGAGGAACACCAGUGGCGAAGGCGGCUUUCUGGUCUGUAACUGACGCUGAGGCGCGAAAGCUGGGGGAGCAAACAGGAUUAGAUACCCUGGUAGUCCACGCCGUAAACGAUGAGUGCUAAGUGUUAGGGGGUUUCCGCCCCUUAGUGCUGCAGCUAACGCAUUAAGCACUCCGCCUGGGAGUACGGCCGCAAGGCUG